rnacentral:tRNA from 1 species
GCGUCUAUAGCUCAGUUGGUUAGAGCGCAUCGUUCACAUCGAUGAGGUCAGUGGUUCGAGUCCACUUAGACGCACCA